UUUUUUAUAACUAACAAGAUAGAAGAGAGCCUGUCCGUUUCCAAUGGGGCAAAUUAAUCAUAGAGGGCAGAACAAGCAAUGAGGUUGGCAGAGCCAAGCACGAGCUAGCGAGAUCCUAUUGGCACGUUUUAGCAAAUAUUUUCAUAUAUCCGUUAGGGAACACCUUCUCUGUGAAGUGCGCGUGUGCAAUAACUUGCACUUAUUUUAAAGAACUCAAUUUGUUUUAAACUCUGGCAAACGGUAACGUCUACGAAACUUAGUCCACUCUGUUAGAAGCAGAUUUUGUUUUUGGAAACAGAAAACGGUAUUGAGAUCAAAUGUUUCAUCGAUGAGAAAAUUAGCAGAAUGUCAGCCAAAACCCAUCUCGCUUCAUCUUCUCCCACUGCCUGCCACUGUACUUUCAUCACCAUAUUUGGUAGUGAGUGGAAACGCCAACCGGAUGCUUCACAUUUAUACAGCUGGUGAAAUAUCUGUCUCAUUGCUCUGUCUGUGGUAUUACUCCUCUUUACAUGUAUAUAUUACCAAUAGUAUAUUACCAUAAGUAUUUAUAUGUUCCUACUACCAGUCACUUUUCAGCCCUGUUUAAAUAUAUAUCCGCCUAUCACGCCUACACUGACACACACUUUGUUCCUUAUUUAAAAAAAAGUGUUGUUUGUUUUUACUUUUGUUUUGUCUGUCAACCUUAAAGUCAACCAAAACGUUCAUUCUAUGGGGCUAAUGAUUUUGAGGAGAAUUUUGGCAAAUUGUAGGCAUUGUUUGAUUAUUGAUAUGCCCCGUAGUUUGCUAACGGUUGCCAUGGCAAUAGCUAAUGAUACGACUAGACGGCGAACUACUACUAGCUAGGUAACUCUCAAGGCCCUGAGUCUGAGGCAUUGCCCCAUCACAUUUCCGCCUCAAGAGGUUGCGCAGCAGGGCCUCCACUGCAUCGGUUAGCGUGCAGAACUCUCUUCCAGGUGAAUGAUAACGAUAACUGUAGUGUCACCUGAUGAAGUUGGACAAUGCGACGGCAAGGGGUUUGUGUGGUCUGCACCCUUCUGAACACGUCCACCGCCGUCUGUUAUUAUGCAUAAGAAAGGAAGGCUGGCCACCAAAAUAGCUCCUUGCCCUGGUUCCACUUCAGCGGUGUGACUCUGUUUCCUUUUUAGAUGGCACGUACAGCAGGCAGACUUUUUAUGCAGCUCUACACAUUCAUAUUUUUAGCCAGAUGAAAAUGAUCGAUAACCCAUGUGCUUCUAACAGAGGCACUUUGUCAUCCACCACUGGCUAGUAGUGCCUAUGGCUAAUCAGCAUGACUAGCCAAGUCACCCCUCAGAAGAAAGCCUACACCUAGAACAAAGACAUGCCCCCGGUGGAGAAGCUACAAUUGACAGAGCUUGUGAAGUCCAGUUUGGACCUCUGUGAAGAGGUGGUGUAUGAAGACGAGCAGCAGAGGUUCAGAGAACUGAGGCAGAAGAUGAUCCAAAUGGACAGAGCUGAGUUUGGCUAUGGCCUCCCUCUUUCACGCUUCUCUAGAGCAGCAGAGGGCUGAUACACCCCCUGCCCGUCAUUAAAAGAAAGAAAGAGAUUACCAGUGGAAAUAUAUUUCCAGAGGUCCCUCCGUUUGACAUGCAGUACUGGAAGAGGUCAGAGGAGAGAAGACUGGCUGCAAUGAACAAAGUAGGAAAGAUCAAGAGCUCCUCAAGAAAUGGCGUACUCAUGCUAGGAUCAUGCAGGAGAGGAACAUCUUAGAGCACAAGCAAGAAAGGUGUGAGCGACAUAUGAGAGGGGAGGUAUGACUGUUCUGUAUGUCUGCUUUCACUACCUUCUAAUUUUGUAAUCCACAAUUUUUUUCACAUACCUGAAGUGCACUUCUCAACCAGAAGAGGUCAACAUAACGCCAGCCUGAGGAAAGGGUUUCACAGUCAUUGGAAAGAGAAAAUUAGAAUUAGAAGAAUGCUUUCAGUUCUGUUCUUGUCCUAAGGAAACUGCCUCAGAGAAGUGGACAGAAAGAGACUGACUUGAGUCCUUGUUUCCAUUCUGGGUGAGCAGACGUUGAAAAAGAUGGCUGUGCAGGCUGUGCAGACACUAAGCUGAAGCUGUCCAGGUUGGAGAUAGCGACAGGCCUAGCUAGCGAUGGAGCACUGUCAGUCAUCCUGCAGUCAGAUGUCGCCAGGGAGGCCCCCCCCACAGCAGGGUGGCCAGAGACAGGGAGUUGGAGCAGUGUAUCAGGAGCCAUGUUCAGAUGAUGAAGGAGGCCCAGGGGCACUGGCCAAGAGGAGAUUGAAGCUGCAAGACAAGAUAUGGAGGAAGCCAAGAGGUUGCAGUCAGAACUCGCUGAGAGACAUCGAGUAUCGAUUCAUCGUGUUUACUGAGGAGAACUCUACUAUGACAAAUGAAAAUAUUUUUGAGUGUGUAGCCCUACUGCCAUUUUGAAUUGUUGCAAUAUUAAAUGAAUUUACAUUGCAUGUAAAAAUAGAAGUACAGGAGAGGGUAGUAUGGAAUUAUAGCACUCUACAAACACAGUUUCCUCAUUCACAAUGGUAUCCAAUAGCCAUUCAUCAAUAAACAUUUCAUAUUCUUACUUGA